rnacentral:misc_RNA from 1 species
GAAAAACAUAUAAGAUGAAAGGAUGAGUAAUUAUAUUACUCAGUAAGUGACCCCACUACCGGAGUCGGGCUAGGCACCUAAGUCCUUUAAGUGCGUCAAACAUAAAACAUGCAUAUCUAUCAUACUUCUAUAGGGAAAUGGUUAUACCCGCCCCACCGUUGGUUAUGGAUGCCCACAAACCUUUAGAGCCCCGAAGUAAACUCUUACCUCUCGUGAUCCCGAAGGAACACAAACCUCUAGUGUACUCGAAGGAGCACAAACUCUGGUGAACCUGAAGGAACACAUCCUCUAGUGAUCCCGAAGGAACACAACCUCCAGUGAACCCGAAGGAACACAACCUCCUGUGGACAUCCAACCAACGUAGGGGAGUCACCACUACUCAUCAUACAUAAUCAACCAAGUUCACACUCAUUCCAUUCCAUGGAUUCAUACAUUAACAGUACUGUUCAUAAACGUCUCAUAGCAUAAUCUUAUACACUAUCAGGCAUAUAAAACUUUAAGACAAGGAAAUUUGAUACAAGCAUCUUAUAUCAUAUAUGGCUUUAGAAAUCUACUAUAGCAUGACAAUUAAACAUAUGGCCCGAAGGCGGUUCAGGUAGUAAGAUCACUUACUACCGGAGUCGGGCUAGGCACCUAAGUCCUUUAAGUGCGUCAAACAUAAAACAUGCAUAUCUAUCAUACUUCUAUAGGGAAAUGGUUAUACCCGCCCCACCGUUGGUUAUGGAUGCCCACAAACCUUUAGAGCCCCGAAGUAAACUCUUACCUCUCGUGAUCCCGAAGGAACACAAACCUCUAGUGUACUCGAAGGAGCACAAACUCUGGUGAACCUGAAGGAACACAUCCUCUAGUGAUCCCGAAGGAACACAACCUCCAGUGAACCCGAAGGAACACAACCUCCUGUGGACAUCCAACCAACGUAGGGGAGUCACCACUACUCAUCAUACAUAAUCAACCAAGUUCACACUCAUUCCAUUCCAUGGAUUCAUACAUUAACAGUACUGUUCAUAAACGUCUCAUAGCAUAAUCUUAUACACUAUCAGGCAUAUAAAACUUUAAGACAAGGAAAUUUGAUACAAGCAUCUUAUAUCAUAUAUGGCUUUAGAAAUCUACUAUAGCAUGACAAUUAAACAUAUGGCCCGAAGGCGGUUCAGGUAGUAAGAUCACUU